rnacentral:lncRNA from 1 species
UCUGAUGUUGAGAGAGAAGGCGGGGCGGCAACUCAGCGAGGCGGUCGACACCGGUCUCGCCGGCGCUGGACCCCGCCAGUAACAGGUCGAGAGAGAGGGAGAGAUCGGUUGAGGGAGAAAAGGGAGGCGUCUGAUUUUCAUUGAGAGAGAGAGAGAACCGAGAGACUUGGGGGGGAGAAAAAUGGGUGUUGGGCUUUUAUUUUUGUUAUUUUUGUUGUUGGGCUAAAGAUUGGGCUUUUUCAUUUUAAUUUCUUUUGGGCUUUUGUUUUAUUUUAUCUUGGACUGAAGUUUAAAUUAAUUAGAAUGGGCUGGGGAUUUAUUUCCUCAAUUGGGCCUAAGGGUAUUAUUUUGUAGAUGGACUGCUAUAUUUAUUUAUUUUGGACUUCAAUGCGGGCCCAUAUUUUCUAUUAAAUUCUUAAUGAAUUUGCACUAUGUUGGGCUCCUAUUAGUAAUUGGAGUGUUGUUAAUAUUUUAUUUAGUCCGAUUAAGAUUAUUAUGAGAUUAAUUGGAUUUAAUUUUA